AGUGGAGCAAUCCAUGAGUACAGUGGCGCACGGGUGAGUAACACGUGGAUAAUCUACCUCUUGGUGGGGAAUAACCCUGGGAAACUGGGGCUAAAACCGCAUAAGCCUGAAAAGGGAAAGGCGCAAGUCGCCGAGAGAGGAGUCCGCGGUCGAUUAGCUAGUUGGUGAGGUAAAGGCUCACCAAGGCUUCGAUCGAUAGCCGGCCUGAGAGGGCACACGGCCACACUGGCACUGAAACACGGGCCAGACUCCUACGGGAGGCAGCAGUGGGGAAUCUUGCACAAUGGGGGAAACCCUGAUGCAGCGACGCCGCGUGAGCGAUGAAGCCCUUCGGGGUGUAAAGCUCUUUCGACAGGAACGAUAAUGACGGUACCUGGAGAAGAAGCUGCGGCUAACUACGUGCCAGCAGCCGCGGUAAUACGUAGGCAGCAAGCGUUGUUCGGAGUUACUGGGCGUAAAGAGUAUGUAGGCGGUUAUCUAAGUCUGGCGUGAAAUCUCCCGGCUCAACUGGGAGGCUGCGUUAGAUACUGGAUAGCUUGAGCGUGGGAGGGGAAAGCGGAAUUUCUGGUGUAGCGGUGAAAUGCGUAGAUAUCAGAAGGAACACCUGCGGUGAAGACAGCUUUCUGGACCACAGCUGACGCUGAGAUACGAAAGCGUGGGUAGCAAACAGGAUUAGAUACCCUGGUAGUCCACGCCCUAAACGAUGCACACUUGGUGUGAGCCAUUCAUUUGGUUUGUGCCGGAGCUAACGCGUUAAGUGUGCCGCCUGGGGAGUACGGUCGC
rnacentral:rRNA from 1 species